GACGAACGCUGGCGGCGUGCUUAACACAUGCAAGUCGAACGGAAAGGCCCUGCUUUUGUGGGGUGCUCGAGUGGCGAACGGGUGAGUAACACGUGAGUAACCUGCCCUUGACUUUGGGAUAACUUCAGGAAACUGGGGCUAAUACCGGAUAGGAGCUCCUGUUGCAUGGUGGGGGUUGGAAAGUUUGGGCGGUUGGGGAUGGACUCGCGGCUUAUCAGCUUGUUGGUGGGGUAGUGGCUUACCAAGGCUUUGACGGGUAGCCGGCCUGAGAGGGUGACCGGCCACAUUGGGACUGAGAUACGGCCCAGACUCCUACGGGAGGCAGCAGUGGGGAAUAUUGCACAAUGGGCGGAAGCCUGAUGCAGCAACGCCGCGUGCGGGAUGACGGCCUUCGGGUUGUAAACCGCUUUCGCCUGUGACGAAGCGUGAGUGACGGUAAUGGGUAAAGAAGCACCGGCUAACUACGUG
rnacentral:rRNA from 1 species